GUCCAGAUAAGCGUCUGGAAAAUGCAUAUUAGAAACUGAAAAGCUCUCUUAAUUAACACACAUGACUAUUCGUGGUAGAAGAUUUUUAAAUACAAAUAACUGUAGACCAUGCGUUUCUCAUAACCAAAAUUAAUUUUCAAUCCUACACUGUUUGAAGAAAUGGAGUCAUACUGCACACGAGCUAUGGAUGGAAAAGAAUUGUGUUGAAACACAGGAACACGCGCUGUGGGUGUCUGAUUGGAAUCUGUCCGCAUUUACUCAGACGUCUGCCCAUGAGGCCUUUCUGAAGUCUCCUCCGCUCCCCGGCUGAAAGGAACGUGAGGAGGCCGCUGUGAAAGUCCAGACAAGAGGAU
ensembl:lncRNA